CUGCAGGCUGCAACUCGCCUGCACGAAGUCGGAAUUGCUAGUAAUCGCGGAUCAGAAUGCCGCGGUGAAUACGUUCCCGGGCCUUGUACACACCGCCCGUCACACCAUGGGAGUCGGUAACACCCGAAGUCGGUGGUCUAACCGCAAGGAGGACGCCGCCGAAGGUGGGAUUGAUGACUGGGGUGAAGUCGUAACAAGGUAGC
rnacentral:rRNA from 1 species